ensembl:rRNA 5S_rRNA 5S ribosomal RNA
GUCCCGGCAGUACCCAGGCACCAUAGCAGCCUGAGGAUGACCCAGCCUGGAAGCUAAGUGGGUCAGGCCUUGCUGGGUCUUGGAAUGGUGGACCACCUCGGGAGACCAAGGGCUGGAGGCU